AGGACGAACGCUGGCGGCGUGCCUAACACAUGCAAGUCGAACGGGGGUAGCAAUACCCUAGUGGCGAACGGGUGCGUAACACGUGAAGAACUUGUCCAUCGGCGGGGGAUAGCCGGCCCAACGGCCGGGUAAUACCGCGUACGCUUGUCGAGUGGCAUCACUUGACAAGGAAAGCAGCAAUGCACCGAUGGAGAGCUUCGCGGCCUAUCAGCUUGUUGGCGGGGUAAUGGCCCACCAAGGCAACGACGGGUAGCUGGUCUGAGAGGAUGAUCAGCCACAUUGGGACUGAGACACGGCCCAGACUCCUACGGGAGGCAGCAGUGGGGAAUAUUGCGCAAUGGGCGAAAGCCUGACGCAGCGACGCCGCGUGUGGGAUGACGGCCUUCGGGUGUAACCACUGUCGCGAGGGACGAAAAAUAGACGGUACCUCGAAGGAAGCACCGGCUAACUCUGUGCCAGCAGCCGCGGU
rnacentral:rRNA from 1 species